AGCAGUGGGGAAUAUUGCACAAUGGGCGCAAGCCUGAUGCAGCCAUGCCGCGUGUAUGAAGAAGGCCUUCGGGUUGUAAAGUACUUUCAGCAGUGAGGAAGGUGGGUAUGUUAAUAGCAUACUCAUUUGACGUUAGCUGCAGAAGAAGCACCGGCUAACUCCGUGCCAGCAGCCGCGGUAAUACGGAGGGUGCGAGCGUUAAUCGGAAUUACUGGGCGUAAAGCGCAUGCAGGUGGUUUGUUAAGUCAGAUGUGAAAGCCCGGGGCUCAACCUCGGAAUUGCAUUUGAAAACUGGCAAACUAAGUAGUACUGUAGAGGGGGUAGAAUUUCAGGUGUAGCGGUGAAAUGCGUAGAGAUCUGAAGGAAUACCGGUGGCGAAGGCGGCCCCCUGGACAGAUACUGACACUCAGAUGCGAAAGCGUGGGGAGCAAACAGGAUUAGAUACCCUGGUAG
rnacentral:rRNA from 1 species